UACGGAGGGGGCGAGCGUUGUCCGAAGUUACUGGGCGUAAAGCGCGCGUAGGCGGGUUGGUAAGUCCGCUGUGAAAGCCCGGAGCUCAACUCCGGAGGGUCGGUGGAUACUGCCAGUCUUGAAGGUGCUAGGGGGAGAUGGAAUUACCGGUGUAGCGGUGAAAUGCGUAGAUAUCGGUAGGAACACCAGUGGCGAAGGCGGUCUCCUGGGGCAUUCUUGACGCUGAUGCGCGAAAGCUGGGGGAGCAAACGGG
rnacentral:rRNA from 1 species